rnacentral:rRNA from 1 species
GACGAACGCUGGCGGCGUGCUUAACACAUGCAAGUCGAACGGAAAGGCCCUGCUUUUGUGGGGUGCUCGAGUGGCGAACGGGUGAGUAACACGUGAGUAACCUGCCCUUGACUUUGGGAUAAAUUCAGGAAAAUGGGGCUAAUACAGGAUAGGAGCUCCUGCUGCAUGGUGGGGGUUGGAAAGUUUCGGCGGUUGGGGAUGGACUAGCGGCUUAUCAGCUUGUUGGUGGGGUAGUGGAUUACAAAGGCUUUGACGGGUAGCCGGCCUGAGAGGUUGACCGGCCACAUUGGUCCUGAGAUACGGCCCAGACUCCUACGGUCCGCAGCAGUCGGGAAUAUUGCACAAUGGGCGGACGCCUGAUGCAGCAACGCCGCGUGCGUGAUGACGGCCUUCGGGUUGUAAACCGCUUUCUCCUGUGACGAAGCGUGAGUGACGGUAAUGGGUAAAGAAGCACCGGCUAACUACGUG